GCACUCUUAGCUCAGUUGGUUAGAGCACGUGACUCUUAAUCUCGGGGUCCAGGGUUCGAAUCCCUGAGAGUGUACCA
rnacentral:tRNA from 1 species